rnacentral:rRNA from 1 species
AUGAACGCUGGCGGCGUGCCUAAUACAUGCAAGUCGAGCGAACAGACGAGGAGCUUGCUCCUCUGACGUUAGCGGCGGACGGGUGAGUAACACGUGGAUAACCUACCUAUAAGACUGGGAUAACUUCGGGAAACCGGAGCUAAUACCGGAUAAUAUAUUGAACCGCAUGGUUCAAUAGUGAAAGACGGUUUUGCUGUCACUUAUAGAUGGAUCCGCGCCGCAUUAGCUAGUUGGUAAGGUAACGGCUUACCAAGGCAACGAUGCGUAGCCGACCUGAGAGGGUGAUCGGCCACACUGGAACUGAGACACGGUCCAGACUCCUACGGGAGGCAGCAGUAGGGAAUCUUCCGCAAUGGGCGAAAGCUUGACGGAGCAACGCCGCGUGAGUGACGAAGGUCUUCGGAUCGUAAAACUCUGUUAUUAGGGAAGAACAAAUGUGUAAGUAACUAUGCACGUCUUGACGGUACCUAAUCAGAAAGCCACGGCUAACUACGUG